UCCAAAGGGAUUGCAUUGAUUC
rnacentral:miRNA from 1 species